rnacentral:rRNA from 1 species
CGGAGGGGGCGAGCGUUAUUCGGAAUUAUUGGGCGUAAAGGGCGCGUAGGCGGCUCUACAAGUCAAAGGUGAAAUCCCUCGGCUCAACUGAGGAACUGCCUUUGAAACUGUAAAGCUUGAGUCCGGGAGGGGGUAGCGGAAUUCCCAGUGUAGCGGUGAAAUGCGUAGAUAUUGGGAGGAACACCAGUGGCGAAGGCGGCUACCUGGACCGGAACUGACGCUGAUGCGCGAAAGCGUGGGUAGCAAACAGGAUUAGAUACCCUGGCAGUCCACGCUGUAAACGAUGGGUGCUCGGUGUCGCGGGUAUCGACCCCUGCGGUGCCUUAGCCAACGCGUUAAGCACCCCGCCUGGGGAGUACGGUCGCAAGGCUG